GCUUCAGGGAAGCAAGCUGGGACUCCAGAGGGAAAGCACUUUGCACCACAGACAGAUAGCGAGAGAGAGGAGGGAGACAGGGGCACACAGAGAGAGGGACAGAAAGUUUGUGUACAAAGACCUUAAAAAAAAAAGUAGCGUUGCACCUGGUGACACAGAAAUGAGAGGUCUGCUUAGUGCUUAAAUAGCUGAGAGACAAUGGGACAAGGGAGGAAAGUGAACGAUCUCUGCUUAAAUUUCAUAACUGCAGGGAAGUAGAAGUACAGCUGCCUCUGUCUUUAACGGAGUCAAAAGGGCUAUUAGAUAAGGGAAACAUUUGAGUCUCUGAAAAAGAAAAAGCAGCUCAGAGUUGAAUGAAUUUCAUGCUGAGUUAUGGUUUUGACCGGCUUGACUAUAUUUCAUCAUUUCUGCUGGCAUUGAGAGAAAGAGGCGGGAGGUGGAAGGGGCUGAUGAGCUUUUUAAAAAUGCCUUUCGUUUUAUUUUAUCUUAUUUUUUAAAUGAGUGUUCAGGGCAAAAAAGGGAGCUGAAGGGAACCCGCUGGAGAGCAGCAGCAGCGAAGAUGGGUCUGUUAAGCGUAGAUUUGCUGAUCGCGCUUCAGAUCUUGCCGGGUUUUUUCUCCAAUUGCCUCUUUCUUGCACUCUACGACUCUGUGGUCCUCCUGAAGCACAUGGUGCUGCUCCUGAGUCGGUCUAAGGCGGCGCGUGGCGAGUGGCGAAGAAUGCUGACCUCGGAGGGACUACGCUGCGUCUGGAAUAGCUUCCUCCUAGAUGCCUACAAGCAGGUGAAACUGGGAGGAGAAGCCCCAAACUCCAAUGUGAUCCACAUAGCUAAUGGCAGCAGCAGCAGUAGUAGCAGAAGAAAAAGUGUUGGUGGGAAAUAUGGAACCAAGUGCCACCUUCUGGACUUUGCCAAUUCAGAGCGCCCGCUGGUGGUUAACUUUGGUUCAGCCACCUGACCCCCAUUCACGAACCAGCUGUCGGCCUUCGGCAAGCUGGUGGAGGAGUUCUCAGGUGUGGCCGAUUUCCUGUUGGUCUACAUCGAUGAGGCUCACCCAUCGGAUGGCUGGGCUGCCCCUGGGAUCUCUCCCUCCUCAUUUGAGGUGAGGAAGCACAGGAACCAGGAAGACCGAUGUGCUGCCGCUCACCAGCUCUUGGAGCGGUUUUCCUUGCCACCCCAGUGCCAAGUGGUAACUGACUGCAUGGACAAUAAUGCAAAUGUGGCCUAUGGGGUCUCCUUCGAGCGAGUGUGCAUCGUGCAGAGACAGAAAAUUGCCUACCUGGGGGGCAAGGGCCCCUUUUUCUACAACCUCCAGGAAGUCCGGCUUUGGCUGGAGCAAAACUUCAGCAAGAGAUGAAAUCCAGCCUAAGAUGAGUAAAGUGUGUCAAGAGCGUUGUCCCUUUAAAGUGAUAUAAUAGGGAACAAAACACGCUGUUUUACAAUAGGUCUUUCAGGGGCUAUUGCAGGAGAACAGGUUCAAUAAUAAGGUCAAAUGAAUGCAAGCCAGGAAAAAAAAAAAAAGAAAACAGCACAUAAAAAGAGAAUUGUGUGAGACAAUCCUACUCCUGCCUUCUUAACAGGGCAGAAAAGGCCACUGUGAAAAGUGCUGCUGCUGCACAUGAAAGGUGGUGGAAUGAGAUUUCUCACCCAUCCUUUUAACAACAUGUUAACUUUAGGUUCCAAAGAAAGCACUGCUUCCUGGAAUACGAUUCUGCAGAGGGGCAACCUCAUGUAUUUGAUCAGGGACAUCUCACUUUUCCAUUAAGGCCUGUGUAGGCAACUUGCCAGCAAACUGAGGCCUUCAGUUAAUUAAAAUGGAGUGGCUUAUGGCUGCCUUCCUUGAUACAGAGGUAUGACCCAACAGAGACUACAAGAUCCACCAUGCAGUGCAAACUGGCUGCUCAGUUCAAGAUGAAACAUUGUAUGUGGAUUUUGGUACUCUCUCUAGGGGCAGCCUCUCUGCAUAGUGUGUGUGUGUGUGUGUGUGUACAGUACGCACACACACACAUACACACACUCUUAGGCAUCUGUAUGUUAACAAUUAAAUUGGCAGCAGGCCACACCAUAGAACUCCAUAAGUUGCAUUUGGCUCUCAGACUACGCCUUGGUCACCACUGUGAGACAAAGAAAGAGAGAGAGAGUGAAGGAAAGAGAGAGAGAGAGAGAGA